UACGAAGGGGGCUAGCGUUGCUCGGAAUGACUGGGCGUAAAGGGCGCGUAGGCGGCUCAUACAGUCAGAUGUGAAAUUCCUGGGCUCAACCUGGGGACUGCGCUUGAUACGGCAGAGCUUGAGGAUGGAAGAGGGUCGCGGAAUUCCCAGUGUAGAGGUGAAAUUCGUAGAUAUUGGGAAGAACACCGGUGGCGAAGGCGGCGACCUGGUCCAUUACUGACGCUGAGGCGCGACAGCGUGGGGAGCAAACAGG
rnacentral:rRNA from 1 species